rnacentral:rRNA from 1 species
UACGAAGGGGGCUAGCGUUGCUCGGAAUCACUGGGCGUAAAGCGCACGUAGGCGGAUCUUUAAGUCAGGGGUGAAAUCCUGGAGCUCAACUCCAGAACUGCCUUCGAUACUGGAGAGCUUGAGUCCGGGAGAGGUGAGUGGAACUGCGAGUGUAGAGGUGAAAUUCGUAGAUAUUCGCAAGAACACCAGUGGCGAAGGCGGCUCAGCUGG